rnacentral:piRNA from 1 species
UGGUGCUGUAUGUGCUCUGGGAGAUGCC